rnacentral:rRNA from 1 species
UCAGACGAUGCGUCAUGCAUAUCAAUAAGCGGAGGAAAAGAAACUAACAAGGAUUCCCCUAGUAACGGCGAGUGAAGCGGGAAGAGCUCAAAUUUGAAAUCUUAAAGGGUUUCCCUUUACGAAUUGUAGUUUAAAGAAGUGUUUUCUGUUGAGGUUUUGGUAAAAGUUCUUUGGAAUAGGACAUCAUAGAGGGUGAGAAUCCCGUAUUUGACCUUUACUUUCAACUUUGUGAUACACUUUCAAAGAGUCGGAUUGUUUGGGAAUGCAGUCCAAAAUGGGUGGUAAGUUUCAUCUAAAGCUAAAUAUUGGCGAGAGACCGAUAGCGAACAAGUACCGUGAGGGAAAGAUGAAAAGAACUUUGAAAAGAGAGUUAAACAGUACGUGAAAUUGUCAAAAGGGAAGCGUUUGACACCAGUGUUGUUUUUCUGAAAAUCAAUUAAAGAACUGUUUAUGCUAUGUUGUUUAGACUUUAUCAGCUAACUGUUUAGUUUUGAGCUUUUCUUUAAUGCACUUUUCAGUUAACAAGUCAACAUCAAUUUCUUUUGCUGUAAAAAAGCUUGAGGAAGGUGGCUUGAGAUUCGUCUUAAGUGUUUAUAGCCUCUUGCCUAUGCAGUCGGAGAGAUUGAGGUCUGCAGCGUAGAUCCUUCGGGGCUAAAUGCAUUUGUGCUAAGUUAUAGCAUUUUAUAGACAACUUGUUGACUAUGAUUUGUCUUGUAGCUUACUCGCUUAUGUUAUUUUACCUACGCUUAGGAUGUUGAGCGCAUGUCUCUCUCU